rnacentral:rRNA from 1 species
AUUCCAGCUCCAAUAGCGUAUAUUAAAGUUGUUGCAGUUAAAAAGCUCGUAGUUGGAUUUCUGGCAGGAGUGACUGACCACAAACUCUGUUUGUGAGUUGUGUCAUUCUGGCCAUCCUUGGUAAGAUCCUUUUUGGCAUUAAGUUGUCGGGAAGGGGAUGACCAUCGUUUACUGUGAAAAAAUUAGAGUGUUUAAAGCAGGCUUAUGCCGUUGAAUAUAUUAGCAUGGAAUAAUAAGAUAGGACUUUGAGUCUAUUUUGUUGGUUUGCACACCAAGGUAAUGAUUAACAGGGACAGUCAGGGGCACUCGUAUUCCGCCGAGAGAGGUGAAAUUCUCAGACCAGCGGAAGACGAACCACUGCGAAAGCAUUUGCCAGGGAUGUUUUCAUCG